rnacentral:rRNA from 1 species
GCACAAGCGGAGGAGCAUGUGGUUUAAUUCGAUGAUACGCGAGGAACCCUACCUGGGCUCGAACGUAAGAUGACUGUAGGUGAAAGCUUACAUCUCUUCGGAGCAAUAUACAAGGUGCUGCAUGGUUGUCGUCAGCUCGUGCCGUGAGGUGUCGGGUUAAGUCCCAUAACGAGCGCAACCCCUAUCAUUAGUUGCCAUCAGGUCAAGCUGGGGACUCUAAUGAAACUGCCUACGCAAGUAGUGAGGAAGGUGGGGAUGACGUCAAAUCAGCACGGCCCUUACGUCCAGGGCUACACACGUGCUACAAUGGCCGGUACAAAGGGCAGCUACCUGGUGACAGGAUGCUAAUCUCAAAAGCCGGUCUCAGUUCGGAUCGGAGUCUGCAACCCGACUCCGUGAAGCUGGAAUCGCUAGUAAUCGCGCAUCAGCCAUGGCGCGGUGAAUACGUUCCCGGGCCUU